rnacentral:rRNA from 1 species
UACGGAGGGUGCAAGCGUUAUCCGGAUUCACUGGGUUUAAAGGGUGCGUAGGCGGGUUGGUAAGUCCGUGGUGAAAUCUCCAAGCUUAACUUGGAAACUGCCGUGGAUACUAUCAAUCUUGAAUAUCGUGGAGGUAAGCGGAAUAUGUCAUGUAGCGGUGAAAUGCUUAGAUAUGACAUAGAACACCAAUUGCGUAGGCAGCUUACUACACGAUCAUUGACGCUGAGACACGAAAGCGUGGGGAGCAAACAGG